rnacentral:rRNA from 1 species
AGCGAACGCUGGCGGCAGGCCUAACACAUGCAAGUCGAACGAACUCUUCGGAGUUAGUGGCGGACGGGUGAGUAACACGUGGGAACGUGCCUUUAGGUUCGGAAUAACUCAGGGAAACUUGUGCUAAUACCGAAUGUGCCCUUCGGGGGAAAGAUUUAUCGCCUUUAGAGCGGCCCGCGUCUGAUUAGCUAGUUGGUGAGGUAAAGGCUCACCAAGGCGACGAUCAGUAGCUGGUCUGAGAGGAUGAUCAGCCACAUUGGGACUGAGACACGGCCCAAACUCCGACGGGAGGCAGCAGUAGGGAAUCUUGCGCAAUGGGCGAAAGCCUGACGCAGCCAUGCCGCGUGAAUGAUGAAGGUCUUAGGAUUGUAAAAUUCUUUCACCGGGGACGAUAAUGGCGGUACCCGGAGAAGAAGCCCCGGCUAACUUCGUG